AACGACCAUACCAUGCUGAAUAUACCGGUUCUCGUUAGAUCACUGAAGUCAUUGGGCGCGGUCAGUACUUGGGUGGGUGACCACCUGGGAACACCGCGUGCCGUU